CGCCCCGAAUUGUAGUCUAGAAAGGCGCCAUCGGCCGCGCCCGGCGCUCAAAUCCCUUGGAAGAGGGUAUCGGAGAAGGUGAGAAUCCUGUACCGUGUCGGAUCGCGGCCGCACGAUGCGCCCUUGUCGAGUCGGGUUGCUUGGGAUUGCAGCUUGAAUUGGGUGGUAAAUUCCAUCUAAAGCUAAAUAUUGGUUCAUGACCGAUAGCGAACAAGUACCGUGAGGGAAAGAUGCAAAGAACUUUGAAAAGAGAGUUAAAGAGUGCUUGAAAUCGGUAAGAGGAAACCCGUUUGUGCCCGGUUUCGCGACUCCCAUCCAGCCGUUCUGCGGUGCAUCUGGGUUAGCGGGUCCGCUGCGAUUCGGUCUGUCACAUAACCGCUUGGGGGGCUUCGGUGAGCCAAGUGACUGAGCGGACCGGAUUCCGGCGGACGGAACGGGCACAACCGACCCGUCUAGAAACACGGACCAAGGAGUCUGACACGGAUGCGAGUACCCGGGUGGCAAGCCCGCGUGCGCAAUGAAAGUAAAGGGCGUGCCCCGCCAACCGACCUUGAUCUUCUGUGAAGGGUUUGAGUCGAGCAUCACUGUCGGGACCCGAAAGAUGGUGAACUAUGCCUGAGGAGGUUGAAGUCUGCCGAAAGGCAGAUGGAGGGCCGUAGCGAUACUGACGUGCAAAUCGUUCGUCGAACUUGGGUAUAGGGGCGAAAGACUAAUCGAACCAUCUAGUAGCUGGUUCCCUCCGAAGUUUCCCUCAGGAUAGCUUGGACGCAAGGGUUUUGU
rnacentral:rRNA from 1 species